CACUCUGGGGCAGGGGGCUUGUGGUGGGUCCCUGCAACUUUUCUGAGUUGCUCAACUCCCUCCUUUUCUGCCUCCAGGUCUAAAGUAGGCAGCGCUACUCUUUUCUGAGUUCGAGAAGCCUUUGAAGACCAGCCUCCCUCCGUGAAACCGCGGCUCCUGAAAGCGGCAGCCAUGUGCAAUCACAUGGCAACAGCUGAUUGGAUCGAGGUGGCCAUGUGACCCAAGCUGGACCAAUCAGCUGAUGGUACUUCUCUCAGGAAGGCCACCAGCUUCGGCCAGCCUCUGCCCUAUGAGCCAGACCCAGCUCCUGCAGAUGCUGGAGGAGUUCUGUGGGUCACCCGGCAGGUCGGCUGACCUGCUGGACUCAGAACAUCCCAUGACGUGGAGAUAAACUGCUGAGCUCCGUCUGUGAUGAGAGUCGACCCAGCUGCUGUGGCCGCCUGCAUUUCUUGGCUGGUGGCCUCUUCCUCCAUCUUCAAAGCCAGCAGUGUGGCAUCUUCACAGCUCUCUCUGCCUCUGGUCCUCGGCUUCUGUCAUCACGUCUCCACUGACUCUGCCAUUCCUGCCUUCCUCUUAUAACGACCGUGCAAUUAUAUCACGUCCACCUAGGCUUCAAUCAAAACGUUUGAAAACACUGAACUCACAUCUCUAGACCAGGGCUCGGCAGAUUUAGGACCCUCAGCCUAUAUAUAGCCUGUUUUUGUAAAUAAAGUUUUAUUGGAACAUGGCCACACUCAUUCGUUUUGUAUUGUCUAUGGGUACUUUGGGAGCUACAACGGCAGAAUAGGGCACUUGCAACAGAAACUCUGUGGCUCACAAAGCCUAACAUAUUUACCAUUUGGCCAUCUAGUCCAACGGCCCUGCCUAGAAGUCAUCUCAUAACGCAGGGAAUAUUAGACGCCUUUUUCUAGGCAUGUGGUCCUGUUGUGCCACUGCCCUUGUAGGCACCUGUGCCUCUGCAGAACACUCUAGGCGGUGUGACUGCCAGGCACUUGGGUCUCCAGAAGUGCAUGACCCUCUACUUUGAACCAAUGCCUAAUGGUAGAAGGCCAGAAACAUGGUACUUCGGUUGGGGUCCCAGCAGGAAAGAGAUGGCCAUCCAAAUUAGAAUAACUCAAGGAGCAUUUGAUAAAGAGGCUAUCUACCAAGGUGAGGGUAGAGUGUAGGGAAAGUCACAGAAUAUAGGAAGGUAGCAGAGAACUCAGAGGCAAGUAAUAGCACAGCUGUUACCACCCUAGGCAGGAGGGUACAAGGGAUGGGGCAAUUCCUGAACCUAGAAGAAAGGUCAUUUGAAGAGGACACCUUAGUUGCAGCAGAGUCCUUAGUCCAGAAAGGACAACCAGCUCCAGGUGACCCCGCAUGCGGGGAAGAAGCCAGGAGAAUAAAUGCCUCGAUUUCACCUUCCUCCAUCUCUGAUCUCCUGUUGGGGGUCCCCAGUGGCCAAACUCACAUCAAAGCCAGAGGGCAUGGGGCCCACUGAUGUAGCCCACAUGGGUCGGCUUCCCAGGCCAGAGAAAGUUGAAAGGAGAAACCUUGCAACCUUCCAACCUUCCAACCUUGCAGAAGGUUGGAAAGAGGCUCUAAAAGGGCAGACCUUAGAUACCCAGCACACAUGGUGUUGAUUUAGAAAGCCAGGUUCAUUCACCUUCCCUAAGCUCCCCUCAACAAGGAGUCCCCCAUGCUUCCUCCCUCCAGAUCGGAAGUUUGGCCCAAACACCAAAAGUCUGCCAUAACUUUUACCUUGUACUGCCUUCUCUUCCUGUGUCUGCUAACCUCCAGAGGGUUAUCAUGGGGUUAAUCUUCCUGGGUCUUAUCAUCACGACAGGGGUGUGAGGUGAUGAGCAGAGGCACAGGCAAGCUGCAUGUGUGAGCCUGAGCAGAGUCUGAGCAGUAUGUGUAGACUUGAAAGUUCUUCAUGUCUCAUCUUUUGAUCUCAGGAAGGAGCUGUGUGCCCCAUCCAUCUCUGCAGCCCAGCUCAAGUCCAACACACACGAACCGAGUCACAGCUGUCACACCUGAUUACUUUUAGAGUUACUACUAAACCCUUUGUACAGCAUGAGCUGCCACUGUUCAAGGCAAACAGAAAGCUUCACAUUUUAUC